GGUUAAGUGACUAAGCGUACACGGUGGAUGCCUGGGCAGUCAGAGGCGAUGAAGGACGUACUAACUUGCGAUAAGCGCAGAUAAGGCAGUAAGAGCCGUUUGAGUCUGCGAUUUCCGAAUGGGGAAACCCAACUGCAUAAGCAGUUACUGUUAACUGAAUACAUAGGUUAACAGAGCAAACCGGGGGAACUGAAACAUCUAAGUACCCCGAGGAGAAGAAAUCAACCGAGAUUCCGGUAGUAGCGGCGAGCGAACCUGGAUUAGCCCUUAAGCACUCGGUGAAGUAGGUGAACAAGCUGGAAAGCUUGGCGAUACAGGGUGAUAGCCCCGUAACCGACGCUUCAUCGAGCGUGAAAUCGAGUAGGGCGGGACACGUGAUAUCCUGUCUGAAUAUGGGGGGACCAUCCUCCAAGGCUAAAUACUCCUGACUGACCGAUAGUGAACCAGUACCGUGAGGGAAAGGCGAAAAGAACCCCUGUGAGGGGAGUGAAAUAGAACCUGAAACCGUGUACGUACAAGCAGUAGGAGCACCUUCGUGGUGUGACUGCGUACCUUUUGUAUAAUGGGUCAGCGACUUAUAUUCAGUGGCAAGGUUAACCGUAUAGGGGAGCCGUAGCGAAAGCGAGUCUUAACUGGGCGCUCAGUCUCUGGAUAUAGACCCGAAACCGGGUGAUCUAGCCAUGGGCAGGUUGAAGGUUGAGUAACAUCAACUGGAGGACCGAACCGACUAAUGUUGAAAAAUUAGCGGAUGACUUGUGGCUAGGGGUGAAAGGCCAAUCAAACUCGGAGAUAGCUGGUUCUCCCCGAAAGCUAUUUAGGUAGCGCCUCGGACGAAUACUACUGGGGGUAGAGCACUGUUAAGGCUAGGGGGUCAUCCCGACUUACCAACCCUUUGCAAACUCCGAAUACCAGUAAGUACUAUCCGGGAGACACACGGCGGGUGCUAACGUCCGUCGUGGAGAGGGAAACAACCCAGACCGCCAGCUAAGGUCCCAAAGUAUUGCUAAGUGGGAAACGAUGUGGGAAGGCUCAGACAGCUAGGAUGUUGGCUUAGAAGCAGCCAUCAUUUAAAGAAAGCGUAAUAGCUCACUAGUCGAGUCGGCCUGCGCGGAAGAUGUAACGGGGCUAAGCAAUACACCGAAGCUGCGGCAAUAUCUUUUAGAUAUUGGGUAGGGGAGCGUUCUGUAAGCCGUUGAAGGUGAAUCGUAAGGUUUGCUGGAGGUAUCAGAAGUGCGAAUGCUGACAUGAGUAACGACAAAGGGGGUGAAAAACCUCCUCGCCGGAAGACCAAGGGUUCCUGUCCAACGUUAAUCGGGGCAGGGUGAGUCGACCCCUAAGGUGAGGCCGAAAGGCGUAAUCGAUGGGAAACGGGUUAAUAUUCCCGUACUUCUGACUAUUGCGAUGGGGGGACGGAGAAGGCUAGGUGGGCCAGGCGACGGUUGUCCUGGUUCAAGUGCGUAGGCUUGAGAGUUAGGUAAAUCCGGCUCUCUCUAAGGCUGAGACACGACGUCGAGCUGCUACGGCAGUGAAGUCAUUGAUGCCAUGCUUCCAGGAAAAGCCUCUAAGCUUCAGAUAGUCAGGAAUCGUACCCCAAACCGACACAGGUGGUCGGGUAGAGAAUACCAAGGCGCUUGAGAGAACUCGGGUGAAGGAACUAGGCAAAAUGGUACCGUAACUUCGGGAGAAGGUACGCUCUUGAUGGUGAAGUCCCUCGCGGAUGGAGCUGACGAGAGUCGCAGAUACCAGGUGGCUGCAACUGUUUAUUAAAAACACAGCACUGUGCAAAAUCGCAAGAUGACGUAUACGGUGUGACGCCUGCCCGGUGCCGGAAGGUUAAUUGAUGGGGUUAGCGCAAGCGAAGCUCUUGAUCGAAGCCCCGGUAAACGGCGGCCGUAACUAUAACGGUCCUAAGGUAGCGAAAUUCCUUGUCGGGUAAGUUCCGACCUGCACGAAUGGCGUAAUGAUGGCCACGCUGUCUCCACCCGAGACUCAGUGAAAUUGAAAUCGCUGUGAAGAUGCAGUGUACCCGCGGCUAGACGGAAAGACCCCGUGAACCUUUACUACAGCUUGGCACUGAACAUUGAACCUACAUG
rnacentral:rRNA from 1 species